GCAUAUCAAUAAGCGGAGGAAAAGAAACCAACCGGGAUUGCCUUAGUAACGGCGAGUGAAGCGGCAAAAGCUCAAAUUUGAAAUCUGGUACCUUCGGUGCCCGAGUUGUAAUUUGUAGAAGGUAACUUUGGGGCUGGUCCUUGUCUAUGUUCCUUGGAACAGGACGUCAUAGAGGGUGAGAAUCCCGUGUGGCGAGGAUCCCAGUCCUAUGUAAAGUGCUUUCGAAGAGUCGAGUUGUUUGGGAAUGCAGCUCUAAGUGGGUGGUAAAUUCCAUCUAAAGCUAAAUAUUGGCGAGAGACCGAUAGCGAACAAGUACAGUGAUGGAAAGAUGAAAAGAACUUUGAAAAGAGAGUGAAAAAGUACGUGAAAUUGUUGAAAGGGAAGGGCAUUUGAUCAGACAUGGUGUUUUGUGCCCUCUGCUCCUUGUGGGUGGGGGAAUCUCGCAGCUCACUGGGCCAGCAUCAGUUUUGGCGGUAGGAUAAAUCUGCAGGAAUGUAGCUUGCUUCGGCAAGUGUUAUAGCCUGUUGAAAUACUGCCAGCCGGGACUGAGGACUGCGACUUUUAGUCAAGGAUGCUGGCAUAAUG
rnacentral:rRNA from 1 species